GGCGGCGUCGGCGGCGGUGGCGUCCACCGCGUGCCGCGCGGUGGCGGCGGCCUUGGCGGCGGCGUCCGACGCGCCGGCGAUGCCG
rnacentral:tRNA from 1 species